rnacentral:lncRNA from 1 species
AAGAGAAUGUAGCUGUGGAUAUCGCAAUUCCAGAUCGAAAGGUUGAGGAAGAACCUGUGGCAGAAGCAGAGGAAAGCGAGGUUAAGUCCGGUUUAUCUGAAGAAAUAGCUGGUCAAGCGUUAUCGUCAGAAACUCCCAUCAAUGAAACUAUUGCCACACCAGUAGUAGAUAAUGAAAUCGUGGCACCGGCUUCUGAAGGAAAUGGGAGUACUGCCAUUGCAGGUGGG